UUUGACCUCAGCUCAGUCGUGAAUACCCCGCU
rnacentral:rRNA from 1 species